rnacentral:rRNA from 1 species
GAGUUUGAUCUUGGCUCAGGACGAACGCUGGCGGCGUGCUUAACACAUGCAAGUCGAGCGAUGAAGUUUCCUUCGGGAAAUGGAUUAGCGGCGGACGGGUGAGUAACACGUGGGUAACCUGCCUUAUAGAGGGGAAUAGCCUUUCGAAAGGAAGAUUAAUACCGCAUAAGAUUGUAGUGUCGCAUGACAUAGCAAUUAAAGGAGUAAUCCGCUAUAAGAUGGACCCGCGUCGCAUUAGCUAGUUGGUGAGGUAACGGCUCACCAAGGCGACGAUGCGUAGCCGACCUGAGAGGGUGAUCGGCCACAUUGGGACUGAGACACGGGCCCAGACUCCUACGGGAGGCAGCAGUGGGGAAUAUUGCACAAUGGGGGAAACCCUGAUGCAGCAACGCCGCGUGAGUGAUGACGUC